CCUACGGGAGGCAGCAGUGAGGAAUAUUGGUCAAUGGGCGGAAGCCUGAACCAGCCAAGUAGCGUGCGGGAUGAAGGCCCUACGGGUCGUAAACCGCUUUUGCACGGGGAUAACACCCUCCACUUGUGGAGGUCUGCAGGUACCGUGCGAAUAAGGGCCGGCUAAUUCCGUGCCAGCAGCCGCGGUAAUACGGAAGGCCCGACCGUUAUCCGGAUUCAUUGGGCUUAAAGGGAGCGUAGGCGGGCGUUCAAGUCAGCUGUAAAAUCGCGCGGCCAAACCGCGCCCCGCAGUUGAAACUGGAGGCCUUGAGUUCACACCAGGAAGGCGGAAUUCGUGGUGUAGCGGUGAAAUGCACAGAUAUCACGAGGAACCCCGAUGGCGAAGGCAGCGUGCCGGGGUGCGACUGACGCUGAGGCUCGAAGGUGCGGGUAUCAAACAGGAUUAGAUACCCCAGUAGUC
rnacentral:rRNA from 1 species